GCUCUCAGCCACAUGUAUUAUUAUUUACAUCAGAAGGUGAAUCAAUGACCUAUAACUGUGCUCUCAAAAAUUAAUGUAAAUGAAAAAUGUAGGCUGUCGCAUUUGACUGUUUCCAGGAGUGUGAGUUACCUGAGCAGUGAUGAACAACAGCUAUUAGGUGGGGAAUGACCAAGCAGAAUUAGUUUAAAUUAGCUUGAGCUAGCUUUAAUAAACUACUGCAAAUAAGCAGGUUGAGCUAUGUGAUCUCAGCAGUGCAACGUGUGAAGAGAUCAUGCAUUAAGUAUGUAAAGUGACCAUUAAAUAGUGAAAGUGACCAUUCAAUAGUGACAUUAUUCUUGCUACAGUCAGAUGCUACUGGGGGUUGAACAACAACUCUUCUUGAUUCCAGUGAAGCUGUGAAGAGCCAGCUGCUGUUAAUGAUCAGCCAGGAAGGGCUAAAGCAAGACUGGCUUGCUUUAGCCUGGGUUAGGAGGAAGGCUGCCCAUCAUCAGCCAAGUCACAUAACAAAGUCCUAGCAAUGCAGGUUGCCCUGCUUUUGUGCGCUUCUGAGAGGUGGAAGAGGGAAGAAUUUCAACUGAAAAGGCUGUAAGCGUGCAGUGAGGAUAUUUGCUGACCAUGAGAUUAAAAGGUUUCAACAAGACCUAAAAGGCUACAUUUAGGAGCAUUAACAGAAUGGGUAAAUUCCUUACCAAUAUCAUGGCUCUUCUGUAGCUCCAGCAAUUUAGCAACAGUGUGACUCAUACCAAAUUAAUGAACAUAACCUGUCAGCAACCUUCUGUGCCAAGUGAGAACUAUCAGUGGGAUAUCUGCAGAUCCCUGAGGAAACCGAUCAUGUUAAAUCCCCUUACACAGAUCUAGAAUUAACCUGAGAAGAUUACAGGUGUACACGAAUAGAACAAUCUCCUUAGUACAUCAUGAGAUCCAACAGUGACUGUCUACAGCCUUUGGAUGAGUAGAAAUACUGUUGGGAGUGUUGGAGUGUGUAGGUAGAUCCUGGUGUUUAAUGCUAAAAUGUAAAUGGAUAUGCGCGCCAAUUACAUUCUUGUCACAAGAAUAUUUCUUAAAAAGCAAAAGCAAACCAAAAAGCCAAAGCAAACCUAGAGCUGAUUUAAACAGAAUUAUUAUCUCAUACAUCAAAGGCUCCAAAUGUAGAGUGCCCCCAGGACUUGGAAGAGAGCAUAAAAUGGCUGAUAAGUAUGUACUUUCAUGUAUUAGAAUAUUUUUGUCUAUGUAUCCAAAUUGUGCACAAAGUGUAAGAUCAAACAACUAAAUAAGAGUUUAGAAGCAAAAUGUUUGGUUGAUUUAGACAUUACUGAUCUGAAAAUGCAGACUUUGAACUGAUUGUUUUAAACAUUUGUGCUUGGCUGGGUGGGAAAAUAAAUGUGUGUUUCUACUAGGCAUAAAUUACAGAAUACAGUUAUGGAUCACUGCGUAUACAAAAGCCAUUUAAAAAAAAAUCAUAUAUUAUUUUUGCUGCUGUAAGCAAUGUAUGUGUAUACAAUCACUACUGACCUAAAAAACACAGAAAUUUCCACUGAAGUGCCACUUCAUUUACCUAAAAAUAGAAAAGAAAAAUGAGUAAAAAAUGUGUGCAAAGAGAGAUGAAGGUAGGCAUUACGAGUAACUGUUGUCCUGCAUAAUAUUUGAAGAUAUAUUUGUAAAUUAAACUGACUGAAAUUUGAA